rnacentral:rRNA from 1 species
GGCUCAGAUUGAACGCUGGCGGCAUGCCUUACACAUGCAAGUCGAACGGCAGCACGGGAGCAAUCCUGGUGGCGAGUGGCGAACGGGUGAGUAAUAUAUCGGAACGUGCCCAGUCGUGGGGGAUAACGUAGCGAAAGCUACGCUAAUACCGCAUACGACCUGAGGGUGAAAGCGGGGGAUCGCAAGACCUCGCGCUAUUGGAGCGGCCGAUAUCAGAUUAGCUAGUUGGUGGGGUAAAGGCCUACCAAGGCUACGAUCUGUAGUUGGUCUGAGAGGGCGACCAGCCACACUGGGACUGAGACACGGCCCAGACUCCUACGGGAGGCAGCAGUGGGGAAUUUUGGACAAUGGGCGCAAGCCUGAUCCAGCAAUGCCGCGUGCAGGAAGAAGGCCUUCGGGUUGUAAACUGCUUUUGUCAGGGAAGAAAUCUUCUGGGCUAAUACCCCGGGAGGAUGACGGUACCUGAAGAAUAAGCACCGGCUAACUACGUG